rnacentral:ncRNA from 3 species
UGAGGUAGUAGAUUGUAUAGUUUUAGGGU